GACGUAGGGGGCCAGCGUUGUUCGGAAUUACUGGGUGUAAAGGGUUCGUAGGCGGUGUGACAAGUCGGGAGUGAAAUCUCUGGGCUCAACCCAGAGUCUGCUUCCGAAACUGCUGUGCUUGAGUGUGGGAGAGGCGCGUGGAAUUGCAGGUGUAGCGGUGAAAUGCGUAGAGAUCGGCAGGAACACCCAGGGGGAAACCAGUCGACUGGGCAGCACCUGACGCUGAGGUGCGAGAGCGUGGGGAGCGAACCGG
rnacentral:rRNA from 1 species